ACAAGAGAGGAGGAAGCCUGGAA
rnacentral:piRNA from 1 species